AUUAAGCCAUGCAAGUCUAAGUACACACGGCCGGUACAGUGAAACUGCGAAUGGCUCAUUAAAUCAGUUAUGGUUCCUUUGAUCGCUCUACCGUUACUUGGAUAACUGUGGCAAUUCUAGAGCUAAUACAUGCCAACGAGCGCUGACCUCCGGGGAUGCGUGCAUUUAUCAGACCCAAAACCCAUGCGGGUGCGCCCCUCGGGGCUCCCCGGCCGCUUUGGUGACUCUAGAUAACCUCGAGCCGAUCGCUGGCCCUCGUGGCGGCGACGUCUCAUUCGAAUGUCUGCCCUAUCAACUUUCGAUGGUACUUUCUGUGCCUACCAUGGUGACCACGGGUAACGGGGAAUCAGGGUUCGAUUCCGGAGAGGGAGCCUGAGAAACGGCUACCACAUCCAAGGAAGGCAGCAGGCGCGCAAAUUACCCACUCCCGACUCGGGGAGGUA
rnacentral:rRNA from 1 species